UCACUUUUGGUCGCUCAGAUCCAUGGUACAGGGACCCUUUGCCACUCACCUUUCACUGCAGUGGAGUCCUGCGAUUCUCCUGCUCUUAGACUGAGACCAGAUUAUGCUGCCUUAAGUGCACGACUCCUUUUCACGUACAGGACCCUUUCUGAUGGUGCCUGUGUCGAUUCUCUAAGCAACGAGCAGUUAUAGUUUGACAACAAGUUUUAUUUAGUAGAUUUAGAAAGCAUAGCGGGGAAAAAAAGCGAUUAACCAAAGAAACAUGUAUCUAUGUUGGGGCUUCCCUCCACGCUAUCUCAGAUGGGCCGUGUUCUCUUCAAUUUUAGGACAAGAACGGCACCAACUCACCUGCCCUGCAAAAAUGUAAAGGUCUCUCCUGGUCAGUCUCAGCCGGUCUUGCUGUGCCCUCCUUACUCCCCCCUUGUUUCUCUCCCCAAAGAAGCCCUUCCUUUAUGACAAUUCUAGACAUGAUUCCAUUAACAGUCAUCGUCUUAGCUACAUCUCUGUCAAGUGUCUUUCAGAGUUUCAGUCUGGGCCGUCAAAGUGAGUGGUCUUGGUAUUGUUUUAUGGCUCUUGUCCAUUGCCCAACUUCUCCAUCUCUAGACGUCAUCGAUCUUCCUCCUGCUCUUUGCGGUAUGCCUCAGACAGGACACAGGAAUCAGAGCAUUUUUCAGAGUCUGUGCGAUUCCCCGCUUCCAUUCGCAGACUGGUCACUGUCUGCAGGCGAGGCGGCGCGCCGCUGCUUAUGGAUAGGAACCGGCUUCCAUUUACCCUCUGCAUCCUCACAGCUGUGCAGCAGUGAAGACAACUGGGUGCAGGCCUUUAAGCAGGAAGAGGAAGAAGAAGCUGGUUGCCAAGGGGCCCUUCCUUGAGUGUCCUGCACUAGGGCCACUCACAAGCAAGUGUCACCUACUGAGCACAAAGCCUGGGUAAGCCGCAUGAGUCCCAUUUAUAAAUGGAGCCAUCGGGGUGCACCUUGUCCAAGUCCACAGGCCGCUGGGAGAGCCAGGAAAAGAAUGCAGAUUUCCCGAGUCUCUGCCGUGUGCUCAGGCCAGCUGGCCCGCAACUAGCAUUCAAAAGCAGAGACGUGAGGGCUGCUCUGAGAAAAACUGAGUCUCAUUCCCAGAGCCUGCCCGUGUCCUUCGAAGUCAGCAGACGUGAUACUUUUCUUGAAGAAAUGUUACAGUCUAAACAAUCAAAGAGAGAAUAAGUCUGAAGUCUUCAGCUUGAUUGAUAUUUGCUGAUAUGUCAAAGGUGUAAUCCAACAGUUCCUGUUUUUUUAAAAUAUAUAUAUAUAUAUUUUUCUAAAUGUGGCCCAUUCAGCUGCUGCCCUAAAAAAAUGAAGAAGAUCAUUGCAAAUUAAACUAAAAAGGCAAAGUAAAUGAAUAAAAAAAGGCCUUUAAAAAAAAAAAAAGCCUGUUCUUUUGGGCCUAAUCCUGCUCCCGUUGAAAGUGAAUGUGUUUUGUUCUCAGAUUCAAUGGAAACAGAACUGAGUUCUUGCUCUGGAGUUUGUUUUUGAGGUGUGCUCCCACUAAAGUCAAUGCAAAAAUUCUCAUGGACUUCACUGGGAAUUGGCUCAGACCCAAAGUGAGCAAGGCAGUCAAGAUCAUGAUAAAGAAAAUUACAAUUGCUCCAUCUGCAUUUUUAAUAAUAGUGAUAUAUAUCCAUAUAAAUAUAUAUACUCACAUCUUUAUAUAUGUACAGAUAUAUACUUUGUAAAGUGGCACUUAAAAGAAAAAGCCAGAUCACAAUCUUGCUUGGCUGGACUUUCUAGCGUGUAAAGCCUCUAGGAAAAAUUGCUCUAAAUUUUAACCGUGUGCUGUAUAUGAUGAUAUAUGGACUUUCCAUGGAGAAAUAGCUGUCAUUAAUGUAUAUUCCUUUGUGAAUGUCGGAAAGUAACACUUUGAACAGGCAAUUCAUGGGAGGUAAAAGAAAAAAAAAUCAGUUGGAAUGAACUUUUUGAAAAAAAUAGUAAAGCUAACAUUUCUUAAAUAAAAAAGUUAUUUAAAAAAAUUUAA